GGCUUUGCAGCAGAAACACCCUGCUAAAGAACAAGUAUCUGGGUUCACAGCAAAGAGGACAAAGAAAAACAGCAAGUUAUAGGGGGUUGAAGGCUGGAUUGUUGGAGAGACAUUUAUUGACCUGGGAGAACAGACCAGGAUCUCCAGUCACGGCUGCAGGCUGCAUCCGUUUGCAUAAGAAUCCCUGAGGCUUCAGAGAGAAACUAACCACAGAGUCUGCAUCGGAGUGGGUCCGGGGCCCUGCUGAAUGUCAGGCUGAAGGUCACCACCAUCCAGGACCUCAGAGCAUAGCUUCUGCCUCUCUGUCUCUCUGCCAGAUUACUGAGAGGCCCCUGUCCUUCUCGCUAAUCUCCAAGCUUUCAAAGGUCUCUGUCGAGCCAUGGAUCCAACAUCUAGUAAUUCACCCCAGGGGCAGAAACAACUGGAGGCAGCAGUGACUAUUUAUGUCUAUACACAACACACCUGUAUGAAUUUUGAGGAACCAGGAUACACACACCAGUCCACCUCCAAGAGAAACAUACUUUCAAACCACCACUUCACGUGUAGGCCAAUCAUAUAACAGAGAAGCAUAAAUUCUCAGAAGAUAGAGCCAGAGGCCAUGGAGAUCGACUGAACAAAGAGGUCUUCCUACAGUACAAAAUCAGAUCUGACCAAGGAUCUUCCCACUCUUGGUGGGGCCUUCACCAUGUCUACCCUGAGGGAUUUCAGGAUUGCUAUGAAGCAGCAAUGCAUAUGUCUCCUUAAAGAAUCAGAGUGUUCAUUGAUUAUUCUCUGGUCCACAUUUGUAUAUCGUGUUUGUGUGGGGGAAAUGGGCAAAAAACAAACAAAGCGAUGCUCUUCUAGACAAAGACAUCAGUAAAAGGUAUAUACUGCCACAAGUUUGUAUCAUUCUCACUUUAAUUGCAUGAAUAUGAGCUUCCUGGUUGCUUUAGGGAGGGGAGGUAUAAAUUAAGAUCCUAUUUGGAAAAUGAAGCUGCGACUAGAAUAUGAUAUAUGUCUUCUGUGAACACUGCAAAAUCCCAUUGUUAACAACGUGCCAUCUGGUGUUAUCAGAGUCUCUUAAAGGUGUGAAUCUGUUUAUUUUUUUAAGCUCUGUACACUGUAUUUUUCAAUAUUUUCACUUGAAGGCCAAUCUGACCCAUUUUUGAAAUUUGUCAUAAGCUUUGUUGUUGACCCAUUUUAACAUCAGCCUAAUAGCCCAAAUAAUACAAACGGUGUAGUUUAUUCAACUAGAAUCUGCUGAAAGGCUACUCUGUGAGGUUUUGUGCUAUGAACUGUGAGUAAUUAAAAUGUACAAUAUGUGACAGUUAUCACAUAAUCCUUGCACUUAAGGAGAAUAUAACCCAUUAUAUAACAGAGAAAUAAAAUCUAUACAAAGUAUUAUAAAUGGUCUUAAAAUGACAAAAUAGUUAGUAAACAGGUAGUAAACAACUGAAGAAAUA